rnacentral:misc_RNA from 1 species
GUCAAAAUGAGUUGGAUUGUUUCCCACAGCUGUAGGCAGAUGACUCAAGCACUCAGCAGCAAAAACUCUUGUUCGGUAUCUGAGGUGCUUAUCUCUACUAGGGUUAACGUUGGAAGCUUCAUAUGCAUAACCUUGCACUGGUGUGCCCUUAGAUCCAGAGACCAUAUUUUCAUCAUCUUCUCCAAAGUUUAAUUGUGAGUCACUGUCUGGACCAUUAAGAUUAUAAUUUCC